GCCUAAUACAUGCAAGUCGAGCGAACAGAUAAGGAGCUUGCUCCUUUGACGUUAGCGGCGGACGGGUGAGUAACACGUGGAUAACCUACCUAUAAGACUGGGAUAACUUCGGGAAACCGGAGCUAAUACCGGAUAACAUAUUGAACCGCAUGGUUCAAUAGUGAAAGGCGGCUUUGCUGUCACUUAUAGAUGGAUCCGCGCCGUAUUAGCUAGUUGGUAAGGUAACGGCUUACCAAGGCAACGAUACGUAGCCGACCUGAGAGGGUGAUCGGCCACACUGGAACUGAGACACGGUCCAGACUCCUACGGGAGGCAGCAGUAGGGAAUCUUCCGCAAUGGGCGAAAGCCUGACGGAGCAACGCCGCGUGAGUGAUGAAGGUCUUCGGAUCGUAAAACUCUGUUAUCAGGGAAGAACAAAUGUGUAAGUAACUGUGCACAUCUUGACGGUACCUGAUCAGAAAGCCACGGCUAACUACGUGCCAGCAGCCGCGGUAAUACGUAGGUGGCAAGCGUUAUCCGGAAUUAUUGGGCGUAAAGCGCGCGUAGGCGGUUUUUUAAGUCUGAUGUGAAAGCCCACGGCUCAACCGUGGAGGGUCAUUGGAAACUGGAAAACUUGAGUGCAGAAGAGGAAAGUGGAAUUCCAUGUGUAGCGGUGAAAUGCGCAGAGAUAUGGAGGAACACCAGUGGCGAAGGCGACUUUCUGGUCUGUAACUGACGCUGAUGUGCGAAAGCGUGGGGAUCAAACAGGAUUAGAUACCCUGGUAGUCCACGCCGUAAACGAUGAGUGCUAAGUGUUAGGGGGUUUCCGCCCCUUAGUGCUGCAGCUAACGCAUUAAGCACUCCGCCUGGGGAGUACGACCGCAAGGUUGAAACUCAAAGGAAUUGACGGGGACCCGCACAAGCGGUGGAGCAUGUGGUUUAAUUCGAAGCAACGCGAAGAACCUUACCAAAUCUUGACAUCCUUUGACCGCUCUAGAGAUAGAGUCUUCCCCUUCGGGGGACAAAGUGACAGGUGGUGCAUGGUUGUCGUCAGCUCGUGUCGUGAGAUG
rnacentral:rRNA from 1 species